CCGGCUUCCUGCUGCUGGGGGACCCUGCCAGCACCUGCCAGUCCAACGGCCACUGGACCCCCAGGCCCACCUGCCUCCGGCUCUGCCUGCGGGGUCGGAUGGAGAUCAGCCAGCGGGAUCUCAGCGGGAGUUGCUCCUCCUCUUGCAGCAGCCGGGCCCGCCUGGGAGCCUUCCCCCACCCCAGCUGCAUCCAGAUCUCAGCCUGUGUCACCAAGGACCCGGGCUGGGCCCGCUGGUUCCUGCGCUGUGACAUCUGUGAGUGUGACUGCCACGUGCCAUGCGAUGCUUCCUCUGGGUAGAGCUGGGCUGUCUGGGGCUGUGGCCACCAGCACCAUGGCAGGAGACGCUUCCACCUUGGAUGUCUUGCUUCCCUUUGCUGCAUGUGUCCAUCACUGUGCUCCUUCCAUAAGCUCCAUCAGUCCCAAGGCUGUCAUCUGAGAGAAGAGGAGAUGUUCUGGACUCUCUCUGGUGGGGCUGCCUUCCUGCCCAGCCCCAUCCCAUCACUCUCCAGUGGCAGGGGAUGCUCUGUGAGCUGCAGGUGCUGGGAAGCUGCAUGUGUUCCCUUUAGCUUAGUCUCCAGAGCUCACAAUCCAGCCCUGACCAGUUGAAAAGGACAGGGCUUUAGUACCAGUUCACUCCCAGGCUCUGCUUGUGUCCCCUUGCAGGGAAGCAGGGCUGUCUUGUGCUGCACAGGGAGGACCUGGGCUAACGGUGAGUCCCCUGGGGGUGGAGUCUCCAUGCUGAACACAAGGCAGACUGGAGGAGUCUGACAUGGCUUUUGCUCUGUGAGGUGAUUUAAGGCCUCCAAGUGGAGCUUGGCUCCACGACUACCUCCUUGUGCCCUCCCUCUGCCCAGCCUCUGGGCUGCCCUGCCCCAUAGUCCCUCCUCUGCCAAGGGGCCAAAUCCCAGCCCUAAGAUCUGUCCCAGCCCAAGGCUGGCUGUGGGAGGGGAAAGCUUUCCUUGGCUCAACA